rnacentral:tRNA from 1 species
UCUAUUUUGGCAGAAAAGUGCAGUAGAUUUAGGAUCUAUACAUGUAAAUUUUAUUUUACAAAUAGAA